GCGCCAAUCGUCUAGUGGUUAGGAUGCAACCUUCCCAAGGUUGCGACGCGAGUUCGAAUCUCGCUUGGCGCA